ACUCCCUCGCGCCCACCCGCGCGCCCGGCCGCGUCGCCCCCAGCCCGUUGGUCCCCGGACUGCGGACCCCGCCCCCGACGGGGGCCAGGUAACCCGCUUCCGAGUGUGCCACGGCGACCCCCAUCUCCCCUCCCCGUGUCAUAAUAAAUCUCACGUUUUCUGCCGGCUGGAGGCUUGGAGCGGUGAGGUGACGUUCAUUUCGGCCGCGUGAAGUUUUCUUUCAAACUGGGAUUGGUGGGGAGGCCGGGGGAAGGGAGCGGGGCGGCGAUCUUGGCGCCCUGCGCGGAGUCCGGGAGCCGCGUCCCGGCCGAGUCGGGGAGUGUGCGUGGAGCCUCCCACCUACUGGUCUCCGCCGGCAACUCUGCGGCCCCAUUUCGGAAAGCGCACCGCAUUGACCGGGACCUGAAGCGGGAUAAGAGGGGUCCUGGGGAAUAGACUGAGAAAGACAUUCAUGUCUGAGAUGAAGCUCAACUAUUACUAUUUUGAAAGUGCUUUAACAGUGCAAGUUUAAAAACUAAAGUGUUGACUUGCUUUUUCUCCCCCGGGGCAUGUGCCACGUCUUCCAAAGUCAAAGGAACGGAUGAGUACAAAAAGUUGCUACCCUUGAAGUGUUACCUAUCACUAUCAACCACAGCUUGUUUAUUUGGAAAGAACUUAAGUGAACCGUCAAGAGAAAAACAAAUGCAUAUUCUUUCUACAAAUAGUAGCAUUUAGUAUCUUUCCUGACCACAUUUGCGAAAAGAGGGAAUAGAGACUUCUAUAAUUAAAGGGAAAAGGAAAAUGAAAGGAGCUGAAAAUAGUGAACUGUGUAGUCUGGAUGGCUGAAAUUUGAAAACACAUGAAAUUAUCAGGACUGCCAAACGGUGUUCCUGAGAAACCAUAUCACAGAUUGUGAAGAAAAUCAAUGCUAGAAGAGUCGGAACAGGCACCGUACUCUUACUCCUUUGAAGAAUCCCAGAAAUAGUUGUUGAGGUUUUUUUUUUCUGCUGAGAAAAAAAGAUAUAUUGGAAAUUAAGUCAUCAACAGUACCUUAAGCACCACUCUGUAGGUAAUUUUGGAUAGUGUCUUUUCUUUACAUUUUGAUAUAGGGAAGGAAUUAAUUCACAUCGACACAAACGAAGUAAUGGAUACCAUAUAACUUGUGUGAUACUGUAGCUUUUAUAAUGAAUUACUUCUUGAAAGUUUUUUUUCCUAUACAAUGUAUUAUUAAACAAUUGUAACGAUAGUCUCUUUUUGUUUAACUAUAGAAAAUGGUAGAUAGUGUGGUACAGCAAACAAGAUUAACAAAUUUUCGUUGGAGAGAAAUUAUUUGGGCUCAGGCUUGCAAUAACAUUAUGAUGAUUUUAAGAAAAAUUGCAGUUCCUGUGAGUUAUAUAUUGAUAAGGCAGAUUUUUAAACACUUAGUUGCUAAAAUUAGUUUUCCUAAAGUCGUAUUUGGGAAAGUCUGAGUAGAGAACCAGUAAGUCACUCUAAUCAUCCCAACAGAGAGCAAAUAUUUUAGUCUUAAAUUACCUCAAAAAAUCUGUAUGUCGUUUAUAAUAUGUAAAUGCACAAUAUGUAAAGGAUAACAUAAGUUCUCGAAAUUGUCAUAAGUCCUUCCUAAAAACUGAACCUAAGUGUUUAGGUAUCUGUACUGUUACAGAGAUCCUUGAAAAUAUGAAAUAAAGAUAAUCGAAAUUAAGAUGAAAUG
ensembl:lncRNA novel transcript